UCUGCCCUGCGAUGCCCCAGGGCAGGGUGCUGACAUCUUGGUGCCAGAUACCACAGCACACCUUCAGGGGUCAAGUGGAAUCCAUGCCUCAAAAGGACCAGGAUUGUAAUGGGAGUUAAAGACAAGCUCUAUCACUGUGCAAGUGUAAGUACGUAAGAAGUAAGACAGUAACUACAUAGAUCAGCCCAGCUCGAGGGCUUCGGCGGAGGAGUGGGGGUAGUUCAGGCAGCGUCAGCACUACCACCGCUCGGCACGCUCGACUGUAACUGAAUUACCAAGCUUCCAGCUCCUAAACAAGAUUGCCUGGUCCGGUUGAAAAUGCUCAAUCUACACUUCCAAAGCAACUGGCGCUGCAGUAUUUUAUUGCAGUGUCCUUUGUUUAUUUUUAUAGCAGAUGCAGAAAUAUGCUUUCGCCUCACAGCUGGAAAUCCUGGGUUCUAUUUCCUGGCCAGGGUCUCUUCUGUGUGGAGUUUGCAUGUUCUCUGUGUGUCUGUGAGGGUUUCCUGUACAUCCAAAGACAUGCAGUCUGGCCAACUGGAGCUACUAAAAAGUGUCCUGUUUAGUGUGUGUGUGUGUGUACCCCAUGUUGGGCUUGUCCGGGAUGUUUCUUGCCUUUCGCCCAAUGAAUCAGACCCACCAUGACCCUGACCAAAAUAAAGUGAUGGUAAAAUAAAAUGGACAAUAAGUUUAUGAAGAAAUGAAGGAUCAUAUGCAGUGUAGUCAGAAUACAGUUAUAUACAUGUGUAUAUACAGGUAGUUCAGCCAUUAAAGUAUUGGACAAGGUUACUGGUUCAAUUACGGUCCGGGUCCUUUCUGUGUAGUUUCCGUGGCUUUCCUCGGGGAGAUCUGGUUUCCUCCCACAGUCCAAAGACAUGCAAGUGAGGUGAAGUGGAGAUACAGAAUUGUCUAAUCUUGUGUAAUAAGUAACUACUGUUUCUGUUAUGAAUGUAACUAAAGAGUGUAAAACAUGACGUUAAAAUCAUAAUAAAUAAACAAAAGUGUCAAA